AGACGGAGGGGGCUAGCGUUGUUCGGAAUCACUGGGCGUAAAGCGCGCGUAGGCGGCCGCUCAAGUUGGGCGUGAAAGCCCGGGGCUCAACCCCGGAAUGGCGCACAAUACUGGGUGGCUCGAGGCCGGGAGAGGAGAGUGGAAUUCCCAGUGUAGAGGUGAAAUUCGUAGAUCUUGGGAAGAACACCGGUGGCGAAGGCGGCUCUCUGGUCCGGUUCUGACGCUGAGGUGCGAAAGCGUGGGGAGCAAACAGGAUUAGAUACCCCGGUAGUCC
rnacentral:rRNA from 1 species